rnacentral:rRNA from 1 species
GAAUUUUCGGCAAUGGGGGAAACCCUGACCGAGCAAUGCCGCGUGAACGAUGGAGGUCUUCGGAUUGUAAAGUUCUGUUAUUAGGAAAGAAUGGCGUAACUAGGAAAUGAGUUACGUUUGACGGUACCUAAUGAGUAAGCCCCGGCUAACUAUGUGCCGGCAGCCGCGGUAAUACAUAGGGGGCGAGCGUUAUCCGGAAUUAUUGGGCGUAAAGCGUGCGUAGGCGGUUUAUUAAGUCUGACGUGAAAUCCCACAGCUUAACUGUGGUUGGUCGUUGGAAACUGGUAGACUUGAGUACAGUAGAGGUAAGUGGAAUUCCAAGUGGAGCGGUGGAAUGCGUAGAUAUUUGGAGGAACACCAGUGGCGAAGGCGGCUUACUGGGCUGGAACUGACGCUGAGGCACGAAAGCGUGGGGAGCAAACA